ensembl:snRNA U2 U2 spliceosomal RNA
AUUAUUUCUCAGAAUUUUGGCUAAGAAAAAGUAUAUUAUUUAUUCCUAGAAAUGUAAUAUCCUUGAUCUUAGGACAUAAAAUUAUGUUAAAUGGAUUUUUGGAACAGGGUGUGAUACAGGAGAUUGCUCCCUCCAUACCGUGCAUUGACAUGGUAUUAUAGCACCAUCAAGGAAGGUUCUAUACUA